GCCUUAUCCCAGAGGAUCCAAAAUACCUGGGUGGGGAUUUUGACAUGGUCUUGUUUUAAUCCCUGUAGAUGGCGGCCUCCUGGAUUUCCGGCUGAAGCAAUGAGGUGGUGAGGGACAAAGUGGGCUCGGAGGCUGCGUGCCUUUAGAGAUUUUUCCCCGAGUCAAACCCGGAUGGACUUGCGAGCGAUAAUUAUGAGGCUGACUUGCAUGUUUUCCUUCAUCCUGCUGUUUGGAGUGGCUGGCCUUGUCAUCUUCAUUCACCUGCAGGAUCCGGCUGACAUAAUUCACCAGCAGACACCAGGAGGUGAAAUAAAGAUAAUUUCAGGGGAAAAAAGAAGUUCCAG
rnacentral:lncRNA from 1 species